rnacentral:tRNA from 1 species
AAAUGAGAAGCAAAUAAUUGCAUUUAGUUUCGACCUAAAAAUUUGAUAGUAAUAUCCUCACUUU